UUCUAUGGUUUGUCUAUUGAACUCAUCUCGUCUCAUGUAUCAACACGUUUUGCUUGGUGCUAAACUAUGUCAUGAAUAUUUACCAUAUGAUAACAUUCUCCUUAACUAUGCCAUUCAUUACAACAGAGUUACUAGGGAGCCCAUGUUGGAGGAAUGGACCAGCACGGCUGAACUCUGUGACAGGUUACAUGAUCCUGUCAGAAUUGCCAUGGUCGGAAAAUAUACUGGCCUUUCAGAUUCUUACCUCUCUGUGUUGAAGGUGAAUGCUUUUGUCACUCUGUAUUUCCACUUUCCAAAGCAUUGAGGCAAUUGUUGUUCAUGUCUUAUUUCCAUACGCAGUUGUCCAUCCCAUUUUACUGUAAAUUACUGUCAGUGUGUUGGUUGUCCAUCCCUUAAAAUCAAUUGUUUCCAGGUACCUGAUCCAGUGGUUGUUGGAAGGUGUUAAAACAUUGUUGGUUUUGUAAAUAUUGUAGUAGAAUAUUGAGGAUAGGAACCCACAUAAAUGCAUUGCAUUUAUAUAUAAUCUAAGUAGUUUGCGGCCUUUUUCACUCCAAAAGAAUGACAGAAGAUAGUCCAUUAUGUUCAAGUAAGUUUCACGCUCAAAAUGAUUAUUCUUCAUCCUUGAGAAUAAGUUUCAACAUAGACCAAAGGAAAAGUGCAUCAAGCAACUACAAGCGGAACAUGAUCCGUUGCUCCACAAGGUUCCAAUGCCUUAUUAGUUUUUAAAUCCUUGUUCACAUAUCCCUUUCAUCCCAUUAGUCUCACCCCUUUCAGUACCUUAUCUCGCAUCAAGCCCCAACAAGCCCCAACUUGAAAACAUCUACCACAUAAGUGGGUUAAACCUCCUACCUAAUAUCGUCUGGACUCCACAUCACAUCCACCUCAUCACACCCUCCGAAGGAAUCAAAUCCAACAUUUUAGCAUCUACCCACCCACUUGUUGAAUCUAUUAGGAUUAGGGUGUUAAACCAACUUUUUCGCCAUGAACAAUUUUUCUGGGAUCAACUGCAGCAGGUGCAUGCAUGUUUGUGCUUUGUAUAUAAUAAGAACAUAUAUUCAAUAUCUAAAUUAGUCUCUUUUUCUUUGUGCGGUACAAGAUGAUGCAGUGCUUCAGUUUCUAAUUUAGAUGUGCAAGACCUUUUGCAUGCUUCUAUUGUUUGCCACAGGAAACUUAUAGUGGAGUGGGUUCCAGCGACUGACUUAGAAAACACAACUACAAAAGAGGUUUAAUGAUUGUAACUUCAAGCCAUCUACUUCUGUUUAUCAUAGUCACUUGAGUUGACACAAUUUCCAACAUUUUCUCUUUGCAGGCGCUCGAUGUUUAUAUUGUUGCAUGGAGGCUGUUGAGGGGUGCAGAUGGCGUUUUAGUCUUGGGGGCUUUAGUAACCAAGGGGUGCAAGGGAAAAUCCUAGCUGUAAAAUAAGCACGAGAAAACAAUAAACCAUUUUUCGGCAUUUGUUUAGGGAUGCAAAUUGUUGUGAUUGAGUACUCAUGUUUGUUCUUGGUCUGCAAGAUGCAAACGGUACAAAGUUUGAUCUAGACACAAAAAACCCAUGUGUUAUUUUUAUGCCAAAGGUGGAUUUGGGUUUUAUCCCCUCUCAUUCUUUAAGUCUUUUAUUUCUGUUGUUUUAUUGCACCUAGCAAGCUGUGUUAUGUAACAGAGAAUCAUAUCAUACACAAGGUUCGAAAAAUCAUAUGGGAUGGACCAUGCGUCUUGGAUCGAGAAGAACAUAUUUCGAGAUCAUUGAUUGCAAAUCUGCA